CUGCUAUCGGAUUGAUACUAAGCCAUGCGAGUCAUUGCAGUAAUGCAAGGCAGACGGCUCAGUAACGCGUAGUCAACCUACCCUAUGGACGGGAAUAACCUCGGGAAACUGAGUAUAAUGCCCGAUAGAACACUAUUCCUGGAAUGGUUUGUGUUCCAAAUGAUUUAUCGCCGUAGGAUGGGACUGCGGCCUAUCAGUUUGUUGGUGAGGUAAUGGCCCACCAAGACUAUUACAGGUACGGGCUCUGAGAGGAGUAGUCCGGAGAUGGGUACUGAGACACGGACCCAGGCCCUAUGGGGCGCAGCAGGCGAGAAAACUUUGCAAUGUGCGAAAGCACGACAAGGUUAAUCCGAGUGGUUUGUGCUAAACGAACCUUUUGACAGUCCUAGAAACACUGUUGAAUAAGGGGUGGGCAAGUUCUGGUGUCAGCCGCCGCGGUAAAACCAGCACCUCAAGUGGUCAGGAUGAUUAUUGGGCCUAAAGCAUCCGUAGCCGGCUCUGUAAGUUUUCGGUUAAAUCUGUACGCUCAACGUACAGGCUGCCGGGAAUACUGCAGAGCUAGGGAGUGGGAGAGGUAGACGGUACUCGGUAGGAAGGGGUAAAAUCCUUUGAUCUAUUGAUGACCACCUGUGGCGAAGGCGGUCUACCAGAACACGUCCGACGGUGAGGGAUGAAAGCUGGGGGAGCAAACCGGAUUAGAUACCCGGGUAGUCCCGGCUGUAAACUAUGCAAACUCAGUGAUGCAUUGGCUUGUGGCCAAUGCAGUGCUGCAGGGAAGCCGUUAAGUUUGCCGCCUGGGAAGUACGUACGCAAGUAUGAAACUUAAAGGAAUUGGCGGGGGAGCACCACAAGGGGUGAAGCCUGCGG
rnacentral:rRNA from 1 species